AAAGCUGAUUGAUGGGGUGCUUAAAUGUGCAUUUUUUUUACAUAAAAAAUAAGAGUAAGGUAAAACGACUGAAAUAUGUCUCAUAAUUCUGUAAAAGCAUAUGAAAAUUAAAAAUGUAAGUUGAUAACCCCAUCUUUGUUAAGUCGGUUGUACCAUAUUAAUCUUACCAAAUUUUAAAAGAUACUACAAAAAAGCGGCCAAUUAAACAGCUUCUCAUUGUAGAUAAUUCUUCACUUUUAACAUAUCCCGCCUGACGCUUGAAUAUCUGAUCUUUCUUAGAAAUUACCCAAAUAAACGAGGCGAUUAACAGAAAAGAAAAUACCCCCCCCCCAAAAAAAAAAAAAGAAAAAAUGUGCAAAAAAAAAAAGAAAAAAGACUGAAAAAUGGGGUGCUAAAAUGUACAAUUUUCUUAUAUAAAAAUUAAGAAUAAGGUAAUUCUCGCUACAUUGAAGACCUGUUAAUGACCUUCUGCUGUUGUUUUUUCUAUGGUCGGGUUGUUGUCUCUUUGACACAUUCCCCAUUUCCAUUCUCAAUUUUAAAACGAGUGAAAUAUUGAACUGGUCGUAAUCGGAAUUGGUCAAUUGAUGUACGUAAGCAUUGCAAUUUCUGUACAUCCAUAACCAUCAGUAUUUUGCUCAAAAAUCACGAUCUUACAUCAGGAGUUAACAAAUCUUGAGGUAUCAUUUCGUCCACUAUUACAGACAAAGUCAACCUAACAUCCUUCUCCAGCAUUGUGUCAGAAAUUAAAAAAAAAAAUAAUGCAUAUGUUUUUUAUAACUCAAUGGAUAGUUUUCAUUAUAAAACUUAUGUACGAUAUACUUUUUUU
rnacentral:lncRNA from 1 species